GAUCCUGGCUCAGGAUGAACGCUAGCUACAGGCUUAACACAUGCAAGUCGAGGGGCAUCGGGAAGAAAGCUUGCUUUCUUUGCUGGCGACCGGCGCACGGGUGAGUAACACGUAUCCAACCUACCCUUUACUCGGGGAUAGCCUUUCGAAAGAAAGAUUAAUACCCGAUGGCAUAAUGAUUCCGCAUGGUUUCAUUAUUAAAGGAUUCCGGUAAAGGAUGGGGAUGCGUUCCAUUAGGUUGUUGGUGAGGUAACGGCU
rnacentral:rRNA from 1 species